UGCCCAUUUACCUGUCAGACUCUGACACGGUCAGACUUGAAAAUCAUGACUUUUCCUUGUCCCAGACAUGAACAAAUCAACCCUGAUCCUCCGCCUGCCACUCCCUCACUAAUAAAUUAGCAGAGUUUACAUAACCCGCAGUCGGCAGUUUGCGCUGGGCGCCACCAACCCAAUUACGCGGCUCACGUCCUCCAGGAGAAUUUUCCUUCUGUUCAUGGCGCUUCGACAGUGAGCAGCUGAACCUGGCUGUAAGAGUGUCUGGUGGGUCCCCUGGGGGCGGCCAGCGGCCAGCCUCCUCCACGCAUCACCCCUUUAAUUGUCCUCAGAGUCCCGGGGCAGUGGACCUGCUGGAGUCAGAAGGUGCCCGCUCGGCUUUUCCCGGCGAGGACACUGGUUUGGAAAGUCUGGGGCUUUUAGUGCCUCUGUGUCUCCAUCAGCAAAACACGGCGAGAGCCAGCGCCCGGCUCGUCCCCUCGCUGACUGGUGACGUCACGCGGCAGCUUGGAGUCGUCCGUAAUUGGCAGCAUUUCUGCAGAGAAACUGGCAGAUGCUAUGAAUCAGGGAUUUUGUGUUUCCAUAGAACCAGUGAUCACGUAUUUUCCAGCACGUCUCUGCUUACUCCUCUUACCUUGCAGAGAAAGCAAAGCAAAGCAACGGCGCCUGGGUUGAAGGACCCAGUGGUAGCAGCUGUUACUGUGGCCCUGUAGUGCGUGAGCCGAGAACUUCCAGAUGCUCAAGCUGGAUUUAGAAAAGGCAGCAGAGACAGAUCAAAUUGCCAACAUCUGUUGGAUCAUAGAAAAAGCAAGAGAAUUUCAGAAAAAACAUCUACUUCUGCUUCAUUGACUACGCUAUAGCCUUUGACUGUGCGGAUUACAGCAAACCGGAAAAUUCUCAGAGAUAGGAAUACCAGGCCACCUUACCUGCCUCCUGAGAAAUCUGUAUGCAGGUCAAGAAGCAACAGUUAGAACCAGACAUGGAACAAUGAUCUUGUUCUAAAUUGGGAAAGGAGUACGUCAAGGCUGUAUAUUGUCACUGUGCUUAUUUAACUUAUAUGUAGAGUACAUCAUGAGAAAUGCUGGGGUGGAAGAAGCAUAAGCUGGAGUUAAGAUUGUUAGAAAUAUCAAUAAUCUCACAU
rnacentral:lncRNA from 1 species